rnacentral:lncRNA from 1 species
GGGCCUAAAGCAACAACCAGAAGCCUUCCUGGGUGUUUACAUUACAGCACACCAGACUGCAGGCACCGCCGCCCCAGACACUGCCUGCAGCUAAAGUCACCAAGUUUGCCAUGCCCAUAACUGAGAUCAUUGGCAGCCCAGCACCAAGCCUCACUGGCAUCAAGGGCAACGGGUUAGUAAGCAUGGCUCCGCACAGGUAAGCAGUUCUAGGAAAUGGGAAGAAACCUAGACCAUUCAUCUCAGGGCCAGGCUUUCCUUCUCCCAUGGUAAGAAGGUGAAGACUUGUCAAUUUGUGAGUCAGGCGAUCAAGGUCAAAUUGACAUACUCUAGAAGAUUACAUGCCGUGUGGAACAGUACUGGGCAGGGGACCCACUGGGACA